rnacentral:rRNA from 1 species
GCCCAGACUCCUACGGGAGGCAGCAGUGGGGAAUAUUGCACAAUGGGGGAAACCCUGAUGCAGCGACGCCGCGUGGGCGAGGAAGUACCUCGGUAUGUAAAGCCCUAUCAGCAGGGAAGAAACAGGACAGUACCUGACUAAGAAGCCCCGGCUAACUACGUGCCAGCAGCCGCGGUAAUACGUAGGGGGCAAGCGUUAUCCGGAAUUACUGGGUGUAAAGGGAGCGUAGACGGUUAAGUAAGUCUGGAGUGAAAGGCCGGGGCCCAACCCCGGGACUGCUCUGGAAACUAUUGAACUUGAGUGCAGGAGAGGUAAGCGGAAUUCCUAGUGUAGCGGUGAAAUGCGUAGAUAUUAGGAGGAACACCAGUGGCGAAGGCGGCUUACUGGACUGUAACUGACGUUGAGGCUCGAGAGCGUGGGGAGCAAACAGGAUUAGAUACCCCCGUAGA